AAUGAACGCUGGCGGCAGGCCUAACACAUGCAAGUCGAACGCCCUAGCAAUAGGGAGUGGCAGACGGGUGAGUAACACGUGGGAACCUUCCCUAUAGUACGGAAUAGCCCAGGGAAACUUGGAGUAAUACCGUAUACGCCCGAAAGGGGAAAGAUUUAUCGCUAUAGGAUGGGCCCGCGUAGGAUUAGCUAGUUGGUGAGGUAAUGGCUCACCAAGGCGACGAUCCUUAGCAGGUCUGAGAGGACGACCAGCCACACUGGGACUGAGACACGGCCCAGACUCCUACGGGAGGCAGCAGUGGGGAAUAUUGGACAAUGGGCGCAAGCCUGAUCCAGCCAUGCCGCGUGAGUGAUGAAGGCCUUAGGGUUGUAAAGCUCUUUUGGCGGGGACGAUAAUGACGGUACCCGCAGAAUAAGUCCCGGCUAACUUCGUGCCAGCCGCCGCGGUAACAC
rnacentral:rRNA from 1 species